CUCGGGGGUGGGGGGUCCCUCAACCCGGAUUGUGAGAGGGCGCAGGCCAGGCCUAGGGACCCUACCAGUGCAGG
rfam:Myotis brandtii contig261779, whole genome shotgun sequence.